rnacentral:lncRNA from 1 species
CUGAAAAAUGGCAAAUUGUUUAGCCAAAAUGAAUUCUUCAUCCGACUUGCUGCAUUUAACUGGAGGCUUGACAACAAAUUUUCUUUUGUUUAGGAUAGACGGCUACUUAGGAAGUGUCCUUUGAGGAACAGUCUUUUGAGUCACAACUUUCUUUGUCUGAUGUUCUGCAACAGGAGACAACGAUCUCUUCGAUGCUUUUGAAGCAGAAAUAGGAGGGCUUUUUGUAUUCCUCAAUGAUGAUCUGCUAGGAAUAUUUGAAGAUGAAGGUACUGACUUCACUUGUUUCUGUUUCUUAUGUGGUGGAGAAGAUGCAUUAUCAAUUUUUUUCUUUCCUUUGUUUUGUCCAGUAGCUAGUGAUCUUAAAAAUCAUCAUCAGAAGAAGCAUCAUCUAAGGUUGUAUCUUCUACAACAUCUACACAAGGCAAUUGUAAAAUUGUCAUUUCUCUUGAAGUAGCUGUUAUAUUUCUGUAUACAACCUACAAAUAAUAGAUACAUUAGUGUACUAUUUUGAAUACAUGUAAAUAACUCAAUUAUAAAUGUAAUAAUGUAUUCAUAAUGUCAUAGUUACCGGAUUGUCAACAUCAGCUAACAUCCCUUCAAUGAAAGCCUCAAAAUGAGGACGUCUAUCAGUGGUCUCCCAAUUAAGUAAUCUCGGAAUUCUACGACCAUGUUUGACAUCAAUUUUUGGAUUAAUAGCAUAGCAACACUCAUAAAGCCAAACUUGCAUAGCAAGUGACAUACCAUGAAUUUUAUAGUACUGUUUCUGCGCAUCUAUCUUUUUGGAAAUAGACUUCACUAAGUCCUUAAAAGCUUUUUUACCCCAUGGGUAAUCCUUGUAUUUACCAUUCUCAACCAAAUAAAAGUGAAUCUUAGGGACAAAUAUACAAUGCUUCUCGCUAGAAAAAAUGAAGGUAUUAAUGAAAUACAAUAUAGCAAUCUUGGCAUCAUCAUCAUCAUUACCCUCACCCCAUUCUCGAUUUUCAAAACAUUUAAUCAAAGCUAAUUUUUUACGGUUUUUUGACCUCCAAAAUACCGGGAAACAAUCCAGUUAGGCUCUUUAUUUUCAAUCACAAAAGCAUCUUCAUUAGCAACACAAUUUAAUCCUGUUAUGAUUAUAAAUUCCCUAAGCGAAAAUCGAAGUGUCGAUCCAUUUACAUAUAUCACCAGGGCAUCUUUCGAACUUUCUUCCAACUCCAAAGACAUAAAGCACCUAACUAGUUAUGCUUGAACAGAACAAUCAUGCAUUUGCAUAUACACCCCAAAACAAGUCUUGCUAAACAUCUGAAACUACGUAACAGAAAAUUUUUCCUUCAAAUAUGUUAUUAUGUUAUUGUUGGAAUAACAACACAUAUGUGGUGAUUCUGAAGGAAGUUCCUUAACAUAAUAUCGCACAUUCUGCAUUUAUAAACAUACAGUAGCAUAUGAAUAUCAUACAAUGAAUAUAAAUACAAAUACAGUAGCAUAUGAAUACAAGGAAUAUGCAUACAGUAGAGAUAAACGUCAUUCAGUACACAUUAAUAGGACAAAUACACAUACAUAAAUACAUGCAUACAGUACCAUAUAUGCAUAUAACAUAUAACCAUCAUUUAGUACACAUUAACGGGACAAAUAUACCUACAUAAAUACAUGCAUAAAGUACCAAAUAUGCAUACAACAAAUAACCAUCAUUCAAUACAUUAACAGGACAAAUACACAUACAUAAAUAUAUGCAUACAAUACCAAAUAUGCAUACAUCAUAAAUGACAUUUCUAAGUUACACAUACAUAAAUAUAUGCAUACAGUACCAAAUAUGCAUACAUCAUAAAUGACAUUUCUAAGUUACUAACACUUGGCACCUAGGCCGUGUAUUUCUGGUUACUCUGAAGUUCUUGCUAUUCAAUUAAAAUGACAUACUGGAAGGAGAAUAUCUUGUUAUUUGCGAAUGAAUAUGGGAAACCACAAUUGUCAAGAUAAAACACAAUUAGAAUUGAUCAAAUACGACUACAUUCACAUAUCCAUCAGUCUAGAUUACAGAGAAGAGAAUAAAUAGAUCACCUUAACUUAUACAAAUAUAGUAUUUAGGGAAAAGAAUCACAAAACUAGAAAGCAACCGUAUUCAAAUUAAUUAUCAGAAUGAGGGUGUAAUCCAAGUUGGUGGACUUAGAGACACUCCAAGACAAAAAGCUUCAAUCUUUCCAUCUUCAAGAUUAUAAGUCACUAUAUCUACAUUAAAAUACUCAUACCAAUCAUCGGCAAAAUAUAUGUGAUUAGGUUUGACUACUGUAAACAUAGAAGUGUCAAUGGAACUUGCUCUAUUACGGCCCACAAAGAUUGCUGACUCUCCCAAGUUCUUAAUCUCCUCCUUCAAUUCACCUUUGAUUACAUCUAAUUCAAAGACUUUACAUUUAAGGGUCUUGUACCCACCCUUUCGACCAACUAUAACGUUAUUAUCGCCAAAUAAUUGGAUAAAAAGUAAUAGUGCACGGAUAGCUCAACUAGAUAGAAUUGAAGUGAGUUACGACACCACAUAUUAGCCUCCAGCCAGCGCCGCUCAAUUGGUUUAGGUUGAUAAACAACUAGAGAUACAUGCAUACAGUACCAAAUAUGCAUACAGUGCCAAAUACACAUACAACAAAUAACCCUCAUUCAGUACACAUUAAUGGGACAAAUGUACAUACAUAAAUACAUACAUACACUACAAAUAACAAUCAUUCAGUACAAAGUAGGAGAUUGAAAAACAAAGUAAAAAUUUGAAAAAUAAAAUACCUCUUUCACGAAAUCAUCAUCAUCAUUGUC